rnacentral:rRNA from 1 species
AUUGAACGCUGGCGGCAGGCCUAACACAUGCAAGUCGAGCGAGCGUCGCAGGCGUGUGUAUAAUGUGUGAAACUGCCUGAUGUAGGGGGAUAACUACUGUAACCGGUAGCUCAUAACGCAUACCCUCUCCUGUGCCCAGAUGGGAUUUGCUAGGAGGUGGGGUAACGACUCACCUCGGCGACGAUCCCUAGCUGGUGGGAGAGGAUGACCAGCAAAACUGGAACUGAGACACGGUCCAGACUCCUAGGGGAGUCAGCAGGGGGGAAUAUUGCACAAGGGGCGCAAGCCUGAUGCAGCCAGGCCGCGUGUGUGAAGAAGGCCUUCGGGUUGUAAAGCACUUUAAGCGGGGAGGCGUUACCCGCAGAAGAAGCACCGGCUAACUCCGUGCCAGCAGCCGCGGUAAUAC